rnacentral:rRNA from 1 species
CCUACGGGUGGCAGCAGUGGGGAAUAUUGGGCAAUGGGCGAAAGCCUGACCCAGCAACGCCGCGUGAAGGAAGAAGGCUUUCGGGUUGUAAAAUUCUUUUGACAGGGACGAAGCAAGUGACGGUACCUGACGAAUAAGCCACCGCUAACUACGUGCCAGCAGCGGCUGUAAUACGUAGGUGGCAAGCGUUAUCCGGAUUUAAUGGGUGUAAAGGGCGUGUAGGCGGGACUGUAAGUCAGAUGUGAAAAGUCAGGGCUCAACCCUGGUCCUGCAUUUGAUACUGGAGUUCUUGAGUACUGGAGAGGCAGACGGAAUUCGUAGUGGAGCGGUGAAAUGCGUAGAUAUUAGGAAGAACUCCAGUGGCGAAGGCGGUCUGCUGGACAGUAACGGACGCUGAGGCGCGAAAGCGUGGGGAGCAAACAGGAGUAGAGACCCGGGUAGUC